rnacentral:rRNA from 1 species
AGAGUUUGAUCAUGGCUCAGAUUGAACGCUGGCGGUAUGCUUAACACAUGCAAGUCGAACGGUAACAGCGGAAGCUUGCUUCCGGCUGACGAGUGGCGGACGGGUGAGUAACGCGUGGGAAUCUGCCUACUAGCGGGGGAUAGCCCGGAGAAAUCCGGAUUAAUACCGCAUACGCCCUUAGGGGGAAAGCUGGGGAUCUUCGGACCUGGCACUAGUAGAUGAGCCCGCGUUGGAUUAGCUAGUUGGUGGGGUAAUGGCCUACCAAGGCGACGAUCCAUAGCUGUUCUGAGAGGAAGAUCAGCCACACUGGGACUGAGACACGGCCCAGACUCUACGGGAGGCAGCAGUGGGGAAUAUUGCACAAUGGGCGCAAGCCUGAUGCAGCAAUACCGCGUGUGUGAAGAAGGCCUGAGGGUUGUAAAGCACUCUCAAUAGUGAAGAAAAGCUCAUGGUUAAUACCCGUGGGUCUUGACGUUAUCUAUACAAGAAGCACCGGCUAACUCCGUGCCAGCAGCCGCGGUAAUACGGAGGUUGCAAGCGUUAAUCGGAAUUACUGGGCGUAAAGCGUGCGUAGGCGGUUUACUAAGUCAGAUGUGAAAGCCCCGGGCUUAACCUGGGAACUGCAUUUGAUACUGGUAGGCUAGAGUAUGAUAGAGGGGGGUAGAAUUCCUGGUGUAGCGGUGAAAUGCGUAGAUAUCAGGAGGAAUACCAGUGGCGAAGGCGGCCCCCUGGAUCAAUACUGACGCUGAGGUACGAAAGCGUGGGUAGCGAACAGGAUUAGAUACCCUGGUAGUCCACGCCGUAAACGAUGAGAACUAGCCGUUGGGGUCUUGAGGCCUCGGUGGCGCAGCUAACGCGUGAAGUUCUCCGCCUGGGGACUACGGCCGCAAGGCUAAAACUCAAAUGAAUUGACGGGGGCCCGCACAAGCGGUGGAGCAUGUGGUUUAAUUCGAUGCAACGCGAAGAACCUUACCACCCCUUGACAUCCUCGGAACUUGUCAGAAAUGACUUGGUGCCUUCGGGGACCGAGUGACAGGUGCUGCAUGGCUGUCGUCAGCUCGUGUCGUGAGAUGUUGGGUUAAGUCCCGCAACGAGCGCAACCCUUGUCCUUAGUUGCCAUCAGUUCGGCUGGGAACUCUAAGGAGACUGCCGGUGAUAAACCGGAGGAAGGUGGGGAUGACGUCAAGUCAUCAUGGCCCUUAUGGGGUGGGCUACACACGUGCUACAAUGGUCGGUACAAAGGGUUGCCAAGUCGCAAGGCGGAGCUAAUCCCACAAAGCCGAUCGUAGUCCGGAUUGGGGUCUGCAACUCGACCCCAUGAAGUCGGAAUCGCUAGUAAUCGCGAAUCAGAAUGUCGCGGUGAAUACGUUCCCGGGCCUUGUACGCACCGCCCGUCACACCAUGGGAGUGGGCUGCAAAAGAAGUAGGUAGCUUAACCUUCGGGAGGGCGCUUACCACUUUGUGGUUCAUGACUGGGGUGAAGUCGUAACAAGGUA